rnacentral:sRNA from 1 species
AACUGGUAGAAGACAAAAACACAACUCGACAAAAUAAGCUGAUCAACUUUAUAUUACAUCAAGAUGUGUUUAUAAAGUGUCUCCAAGCACUUCUCUCUCAACUUUCAAACUCAACUCGAGAGUCAAGACCUAAAGAUAACCCUAAUUUUUCACCUUAAAAAAGUGUUACCUCUUGAUGCUCAACCUUAUUUAUUUGUACAUAAAGGCACUCCACAAAAGCCAAAAUCCUACUUAAAUUAGGAAUCCUACUUCUAUAUAUAGAAAAGCCUCCCAAACCAUGUAUUAUUUUAUCUCUUUGUAAAUUCAAACCCUAAAUCCUACUUCAGCUAGUACUCUUUUC